AUGGAGCAACUUCCCAACUGGACUUUUUACAUCAAUUCGUGUUGGAAGCAGAAGAGGAAUAAUGGCGCUGAUGAAAGGAGAACCCCUGUUGAGGAAGCUCGCCGUGUUCGCUGGGUACAUCGUUCUUCCGGGAGCCAUGGCCGCUGCUCUCAUUUACUCUCCUCCCGAUUACAUCUACUCCAAGAAAAACGAGAAAGACGAUAAGUCUUCCAAAUAGGACUCUUUCCCCUUCUUUCACCGAAUGGAUCGUCUGAUCAUGUAGGCUUGCAUUUGCAGUGUUGUAUUUCUCUUAUGUUGAUAAUGGUGUGUACUGGACUUAUUGUCAUGUCUCAAUAACUAGUCAUUUGUCUUACUUUUGAGGCUUCGCCUUUGGAGAAAUAAUAAACUUUUUCCCUCUUCUUUUUCUCUUUAUGUUUUUUGAAGAAAUUCUAUGAGAUAAUACAUAUCAUUUGAAGUA